GUAACAGUUAGGACUCUAUGGCCUUGGUGUGACAGAACUGUUAAAAGUCUUCUUUGUGACGCCAGAGUAGAGGUAACAUAUGAACCCAGGGGGGUGGUGGGGAGGAACUAACCAGAGGGAAUGGGCAGCUGAACAAGGAAGACAGGUGAUGGGGAGAGUAAAGACAAAUGACCCUCUUAGGGUCUGAAUGUCUGUGUGCCCCCCAAAUUCACAUGUGGAAGUCCUAACCUCCAAUGUGAUGGUGUCAGGAGAUGGGACAUUUGGGACAUGGAUUAGGUCAUGAGGGUGGAGCCCUCAUCAAUGGGAUUAGUGCCCUUUCAAAAGAGACACCAGAGAGCUCUUAGCUUUCUUUUCACCAUGUGAGGAUACAAUGAGAAGACAGUGGACUGUAACCAAAAAGAGGACCCUCGCCAGACCCUUAACCAUGCUGGCACUCUGAUCUCAGAUUUCCGGCCUCCAGAACUGUGAGAAAUCAAUUUCUGUUGUGGAUAAGCCACCCAGUCUAUGAUGUUCUAUUAUAGCAGCCCAAACUGACUACAACAGGUCUCUACCUCACAAGAGGGCCUGGUAGUAAGGCUUAUCCCAGCCAGUGUGGAUCUUAGAAGGGGAGGGAGGGAGGAGGUGGGAGGCAGAGACUUGUGCUUUAAAACGUGUCUCUCUAUUUCAAAUGGAAAGGAUGACUAAUAAUACUGCAACCUCAAUGCAGAGGCUAAAAUCAGAUUCUCUUUUUUUUAAAGUGAGGCCAGCUGGGAGGUAGGCCUGGUGUUUGUGAAGGGUAGAGGUAAUCUAAUGGGAGAAACUGUCCCUGCAGACUUUGAUCAUGACAAUGACCCAAACUAGGCCAGCGUGGGAAAGUCAUGUGGACUAAGACAUGGACAUUUAUACACAGGCCAAGCACAAUUAUUCAAGCCAAGUGCCAUAGGGACACAGAAGAAGGGGAAAUGGUUGGAAGUUUAUGGAAGCGUUUUGGAAAAGGUAAUUGACACAGACCUUGAAAUAUUUCAACAGGUGUCAAAGUAAGAUGAAAAUUAGUUCAAGGAGUAGCAUAGUAGAAGCUUGAAAGGGUACCACAUGUUCACUGCUGGAGUGUCCGUCCCACAGGCCUGGAGCGGAGCACUUGUGGGUGGGGGAAGAGGAGAGUAGAAAGUGAUGCAUCUGUGGAGACUGGAUGGAGAGGCAGCGUUGCCCACAGGAAAGCGCACAGCUUUGGGGUCAAAGAGACCACAGUUGAAGUCUUGGGGUUGAAUUUUCAAAAGAUAACCAGAAGAAGCAGCUGAAACUCCGUUAUACCCAAGCGCUCCUCUGCGAGCUGCACGGGGCACUCACAGAAGCAUGUUCUCACACUAAUGGCCUCAAAGGAUUCAUUCAAAGAUCUCCUAUAAAUGACUCACUGCAUAUGGGCACUUUGCAAAAACAGAACAAGAAAACACUGACUUGACUAUUUCUCUAAAACAGCCUUGCAAGUAAACGUUAGUCCAUUUUUCUUUGUUAUUCCCUACCCAAAACCUCCCCAAACUUCACACAUCCAAGGAUAUAUUUGAAAAACCAAUCAAAAUUAGAGAUCUCCUUUCUUUACCCCUUGCCUGACACAUAUUUUCCUCAUAUAAGUCAGAUGCUGCUUACCUGACUCCUUCCCAGUGCAGGGCCACCAGCUGGGGCCGGGCAGACAGUUGCAAUCCCAGCAGAGUGUGAGGAUGUGGAGCGUGGCAAGCCAAUCCCCGGAGGAGUCUUUUGGCACCUAAUGCAGUGUCCUAUGAGAUCCAGGCUUGCAUUUUGGCAGCUCAGGCAUUUCUAUUUUCAUUCUUGUGCCAUUCCCUAUUGAAACUUGCAAAGCCAACCCAUAGUUACAUCCAAACCAGGGAUACAGAGCCAGUAAAUGAGCCCACAGACUAAAAGAGAAAGCUGAAAUUUAGACUUGGGUUGCAAACAGCUAUGAGAGGGCCUUAUAUUUGAGCCAUCCUGAGCUGUUCUAUAGAACAAGAU
rnacentral:lncRNA from 1 species